UACGGGAGGCAGCAGUGGGGAAUAUUGCACAAUGGGCGAAAGCCUGAUGCAGCUAUGCCGCGUGUAUGAAGAAGGCCUUAGGGUUGUAAAGUACUUUCAUCGGGGAGGAAAAAACAAAACUAAUAAUUUUAUUUCUUGACGUUACCCGAAAAAGAAGCACCGGCUAACUCCGUGCCAGCAGCCGCGGUAAUACGGAGGGUGCGAGCGUUAAUCGGAAUUACUGGGCGUAAAGGGCACGCAGGCGGUUAAUUAAGUUGGAUGUGAAAUCCCCCGGGCUUAACCUGGGAAUGGCAUUCAAGACUGGUUAGCUAGAGUCUUGUAGAGGGGGUAGAAUUCCAUGUGUAGCGGUGAAAUGCGUAGAGAUGUGGAGGAAUACCGGUGGCGAAGGCGGCCCCUGGACAAAGACUGACGCUCAUGUGCGAAAGCGUGGGGAGCAAACAGGAUUAGAUACC
rnacentral:rRNA from 1 species